AGCUAAAUGUUUGGAAUUUUUUGGUAGCUAUGAUGACCAGACAUUCUGCAUUGCAAUAACAAUAGAUAUGUAUUUAUUGAGUACUUAUGUAAUAGGAGUGGAGCAAGCAUGCAGCCGUUAGUCUGUAAUUCUUAUCAGGAGACCUUGAGCGUGGCCAACAGUCAGUGUCCCAGUGGUCCUUGUGGCAGAGAGUGCAGAUUAAGGCCUUCUCCCUGGGGCCCUCUAGGCCCCCCAGCCUCCGGGCCAGUGGAUGAGCUGGGCAGCCUGGGGACAGGCUGAGGGCUGGAUCCUGAAGAGCUCCAGAGUCCUCACCGUAGCUGGGCACAGGCCUGGAAGCAGCAGCGAACCUUUUCCGCAAACCCACAGUCCAUGGAGGCCUCAGCAACUGGAGUGUACGGACAUGGCCUUUAAGCUGCUUCUCCUUGAAGACAACAACAUACCAGCCCCAACCUCACAGAUGGUGUUAGUCAUCCUGAUAAUGCACCUCAGUUAAUAUUCAAGUCGGGAUCCAGCUACACUUACUUGCUUUGUGCAACAGGACCAGAUAUAGAUGGCAUUGUUGGCUCAAUGCUUUGCUGCCACAGUGCUGUGAAGACCAUCCUUUUCUAUGCCCGUAUGUGGUCCUGGGUAAGUGUUCCUGGGUGGUAGCACUAGAGUCAGAUUAUAGGUUAUAAUAGAGGGGUAACUGAACACUGCAUCUCACAUGGUAUUCUCCAGAUGACUGUUCUACUUUUUUCUUCUAUGGGAGUGAACCAGGCUUCCUGUAUCUUCACAUUCUCAUCCAUAUAAAUUAGCAUAUUUCUGGGUAUUAUUAAUACAGAGCAUCUCAUCAUAUAUUUAUU
rnacentral:lncRNA from 1 species